UACGGAGGGGACUAGCGUUGUUCGGAAUUACUGGGCGUAAAGCGCACGUAGGCGGCUUUGUAAGUCAGGGGUGAAAUCCCGGGGCUCAACCUCGGAACUGCCUUUGAUACUGCAAAUCUCGAGUCCGGAAGAGGUGAGUGGAAUUCCUAGUGUAGAGGUGAAAUUCGUAGAUAUUAGGAAGAACACCAGUGGCGAAGGCGGCUCGCUGGGCCGGUACUGACGCUGAGAUACGAAAGCGUGGGGAGCAAACAGG
rnacentral:rRNA from 1 species